rnacentral:rRNA from 1 species
GCAUCGAUGAAGAACGCAGCGAAAUGCGAUAAUUAAUGUGAAUUGCAGAAUUCAGUGAAUCAUCGAGUCUUUGAACGCACAUUGCACCCCCUGGUAUUCCGGGGGGUAUGCCUGUCCGAGCGUCAUU